GAAGCGCCCCAGGACAAUGAGCUCUGGCUGGCUGCCUCCAGCCAUACAGUCUGUUCUCAGGGGCGGGCGGCCUCUGUACUCUGUGUCUGUCUGUCUGUACCCCAGAGUACCCUGUGUAUCUGGCCCCCUUUCUGCUCAUAAGCCAUGUGGUGGGUGAAUAGGGGGCUGAGUCUAAGAUGCCUGAGCCACUUUUAGGAGAGUGUCCCUUAGCAUUCUCCUAGUGAGAUAACCAAAUGGGUGCUGAAGGCAAACUGCCUGUUGCCACUGAUUACUGGCUGUGGGGCUUGAGUAAGGUAUUGACCCCUGAAAAGUGCUCAUUUUCCUUAUUUGUCAAGUCUGUAACAAGCAUAUCCACCUCACAGUGUUGUUUUGAAGGUCAGUGUGGAAACUCACACAAAGCAAAGAGCCUGGCCCACAGUCUACAAAAGGUAGCUUAUUGCUUACUUUUAAUGGGGCUUCAUGACUUUAGAGGGGAAUUAGGAUAUAGAGAACUUCUCAAUGGAAAGAACAUCAGAACAGAGAGUUGUAAUUUAUAACAAGUAAUGCAGUUGUAUUUGGAUAAUCAUAGAAAUGGAAGGCCGAAAUUGAGAAUUGGUUGAAGGUAUUGUAUAGCCAUACAAACUCAGAGAAAUUGGCGAUCACUCUAAAAAGAAAAAAAUGGAAGUGUCUUCUAUAUUUUCCAUUACUGCUUCAUGAGUUCCUCCCCUUCUUCCACACCCUCUUUCUCCCUCAGAGUUUGUUAUGGCUGUUUAAGUAACUUGUAUAAAGGUAAAUAUGCCAAAACGUUCUAUCCAUGUGUGUAAGCCUACGAUGCAGAAACUUUGAAAGAAGUUUUAAUUAACAUUAAAUUACCCCAAUGGAAUUCAUUCACAUUUAUACUAGCCAUCAGCUCCCGGAGGUAAUGGCCAAGAACUGUUUCUGUUUGCCUUUCUCUCAGCACCAGCCUGCAGUAUAAAUGUAAGCAAUAUUAGUUGACUGACUGACUAUAGAGCUUACCAUGUGACUGGAACAAAAUCAGAGCAAGGGCCUGAAAACUUGUCCUCUCUUUCUCCUCCUGUUUUGGUUCCUCUCUCCUUCCCUUGUGCUGAGAUUCUGACUCUGGAAUUGAUUACCUGAUGAUCUUGGACCAUGAUUUAGCCUCAGUUCCUGCAGUUGGAAAAUGGGGGCAUGAUUAUUCCUUUGUAAAGGCUAAGAUGGCAUAUGUCAGAGCCAGUGGUCAGUGAAGGUUUGUGGUUCUGCUGUUGCCCAGUGCCCUCUCUGGGGUCCCCGGGUACCCAUCACCAUCUGCUGAGCUGCCCACUGUGGCCUGCUGUGCUAAGGCAAGGCGUUACGGUCCACUCAUGCCCCUCUGAUCUUUGCACACUUUUUUCCUUCGAUUUCCAUAUCAAGACUUACCUCUUCUAUAUCCUGUUUCUUCAGAACUUGACUUUCUACUAAAUAGGAUAAAAUCAUCCCUACUUCAUUCAUUAAUGGAUAUUGAUGGGUUAGAAAAGAUUCCUCCAACUCUCGAGCAAUUGUUUAACCUGAAGGGCAGCUCACCCAAGGUAGGCUGCUGGCAGUCAUAGAUUCACAAUAUGAAAGGUGCCCUAGAGGGAUCAUCUCAUAUGAUGGCUUUCAAACUUUUUUCCCAAAUGAAACAUAAUUCAUAAACCUGUCUGUAAAAUAUAAAUGGGUCUGCUUUGAUUGAGAGGAGGUGGGUGGUACCUCCCUGCUUGGUUUUCCCCAACCUGAAGACCCUAGAGAACUUACAUGGAACUCCACUGAUUUUAGGCCAAACUUCUGGCUUUGCAGAAGAGAAACCAAGGUACAGAGAGAGGAAGGGACCUUGGACUCCAUAGACAGGUGGUUACUAGACUGGGGUUGGGGCCUGGUCCCUGUGCCCUGGUCCAUGCCUUCCACUCUGACAGACGUGCCUGCACGAAGAAGCAGCCAGAGAAGAAAGAGGUUGUUUCUGAUGACUCAUGGAAUUUGCUCAUCUAAAGGCAAAACUAGUAUGUUUUUUUCUUUUUAUUCUAAGGCACUGGAUGAUUCCAGACAGAGAUAAUAAGAGACAAAACCUUUUACCGCUGAGCUACCUUUAUUACUGUAUUACAGGCUGUUAGUUACUCCAGGCCAUUAUUGUGUGAUGGGUUAUCAAAGGCCUAUGUGAAAUGUGUGGGAUUUUUAUGAGCUUGUUGUUAUUGUAAUAAAAUGUUUAAAGGCCCCUUAUGUACAAAGAUCUUUAAAAGCUCCAAUGGGGUCCCAUAAUCACCCACAUAAUUAUGAAGGUCAAACUGUGCUGGACAAACUUGAGAGCUAUUUUUGACCACAUUAGUGGAUGACAGAACAGACUAUUAAAAAAAAAAUUGUGGUUGCUAUUGUCCCUUUCAGCAUUCUGGGUACAACAAAAUCUCUCUUGGAGCUGGAGCAGACUGCCGCUCUAGUAUAUUUUCCCACUUUGGUAAAUCUAAGGAGAUUUUCUUUUCCUGGGUUCCAGACACAGGAUAGACAGGCUGUACAUUGGGUUUUGGAGGACAGAGCUGGCCAUAGUGAGUAUUCAGGUCGUUUGCUAAGGAAACUUGCUUUAGCUUGUUUUCAUUCCUGUCUCCAUUGCCCCACAGUCAACAGAUGCCCAUCUGGAGCAGGCCUGGGCCUCACCGGAUGUCCUUCUAUAGCGAUGACUGCUGCUUUCACUGGCCAUCCUUAAUUUUCCAUCUUAUACUAGGAAACUGCCAAGUUAGAAAAACAAUGGACCGUUUCCUUCCUCUUUCUUUAAACCAAGAGGCUGAAAGGAAGGCUUCAUAUUCAUAACUCACAGGCCAGACAUGGGGAUAAAGGUCACUAAAGUUCAAGUGUGACAAAAGUUAAAGUCCACAGGUCUCAGUGAGUUCCCAGCUCAGCUGGGGUCAAGAUGACAUAGAUCCCCUCCCUGAGUCCUCGUGUUAACCUGAAACUUGCCUCAAACUUUGUAAGUAUUUUGGGUAGACAUUUGGAAUCUGAGCUCACUAAAAAGAGCUCAAGAUUAUGGGCAUGAGGAGGGGAAAGAAGUGACACAAAGCGGGCUCCAUUUGGGGACAGUCUUCUCUUCUAGGACUUUGGCCUCCAGGCUUUCUGGGAGCUUGUCAUUAUUAUUAUUGGUGGUGACAGGUACAUUUCUUAAAAACCUAACUUAAGAGCAUUCUUGCUAAGCAGCUAAGAUGUGUUUUUACUGCCAUUUCAAAAAUGUUCUCUCUGAAAUAUCCUUUUGCUGUGGCCUCUUUUCCUGUGGCAAGAUGAUCUGUGGCCAGAAAACCCUCAUGUGGUGAGUGGUUUAGAUAUCCCAUCCAGCCACAUUGCCUCAUCAUGCUGAAAGGGAGAAGGAAACCACCCCUCUAACACCAGCAUUCCAUUCUGUGCUAUUUAUGCUAAAAAGCAGCUGUUAGGAUUUUUGCCAGCUAGACCUCCCUUUUGCACUUGAAAUCCACAGGGAAGAGCUGAUGUCACACAAAGCAGAAACGUGAUAGUAAGGGCAGCAAAGGAUGGUGUUAUGAGAAGAUCCACCAGCAGCACAGAGAGAUCUGAUCAACUCUGCACAGGCAACAUGCUGAGCCACACUAAGACUUCAGGGGUCCUAGGCACUUUUGCCAUGUUCUCUACAACAUCAUCUGAAGCACCAAGCUCUCUGCUGUUCAUCCAUUUAACCAGCGACUUUCAAUGUGGAUAGUAUUGACUAUGACACUCCCUGCCCUUCAGAGCAAGAUCAGAUUGCAAAUGAUAUCAAAUGGCUUAUAAGCUUCUGGAAUCAACUGUGUGAUCUUCAAAACUGGCAACUUGAGAACAGAGCAGGAAGUAAGUGGUUCAGCUUUGGAUACCCUGGCCACGAGUUGAGCAUCCUGAUGGCAAAAUAUUACCUGUCAUGGCCCUUGGGAACAUGUACAAGAUGUGAAUGGAUACUCUCUCCAUUGUGGGAAUACAGGCUGUAGUUUAAGCUGCUCUGAAAGUGGAACACUCCUCCUCUUCCUCCUACAGGGGGCUCCGUGAGUUUUGUUUUGUUUUCUCUAUAUUUGGCUCUGUGGGAAAUCAUCUGACUUUGGGCGGGGACUAAUGGGCACAUGAGAUCUUGAGGGUUCUGGUCCAAAAUAUGAUGGAAAAAAAUCAACCAACUGAUAGACUUUAGUUAAUGCAGGUCAAACUGGCUGCCCUGAAAAUACACCCAAAAGGCUUACAGAAAGGAUAUCCCUGACCCUGGUCCAAAGGAAUUUACAUGCAAAACAGUCUCCCAGAGACAAAAACCAGGAACCAUUAAAAAUAAUUUUUCUCUUAGGAGUUAGUAUAUACUUUUAAGGAGAAGAGCUGACCUGCAAGGAUGAGCUUUUAGGAAAACUUGUCCUAGAAGCCUUUCACUACCAUAUCGCUCUGGCGUUGCAAUACAUGUCAGAGAUUAUAUUCCUUGUAUCUAUGAUACCAGGAGAGAUGGAACCAAAAUACACAAAUACAUAAGAUUCAUCUGCUAGUGCAGCAAGAAAACAUAGAUCAACCAAGACAAUAGAGUUGGCUUCUUUGUGCUUUAAAAUGCAAACAACUAAACUUUAAUGUUACUAUACCAGUUUGGAUCCCAAAAGGAUCAAAUGGUAUUUGAAUAGUUCUAGUUAUGAAAAGACAAAUAUUUAGCAAAUAUCUUUUCUUCACUAGUAUUAGGCUGCAGGCAUUCAUGGGAGUUGGGCAACUUACAGUCUCUGCUUUGUAUAUGUAUAUAUAUAAAUAUAUACUUAGCAUCAGUAGAGUAGGGGGUGGGUAGGGUGAAAAUAGUCUCACACUAAUUUUAGAUAAUUUGCAUAGCAUUCUUGGAACAUGUUUCUCUAUGACCUUAAUGAAAUGAACAACUGGGCUAAGGAGAACAGGGCACAAAUGAGGCUUUUUUGUAAGGACCUUUCAGUCUUUGCCAACAAAAUACAUCUAUCGAUAAGGAUCCUUGAAGGAGGCACUUGGAGGGUCCUUGUUUCAUAUGCCAACUGGUUGUUUCUCUAUGCAAUAACCUUUCAAUAAGGCUAAGUUCUUAGAGAAGAAGCUUUCAAUUAUUCUCUGUAAGGUGAUGGGACAUGUCCAUAGUUAGGAACGAUGCCAUCACUGUGAGUAGCCACACAGUUCCUAACAAACCAUAAGUGGUAGGAUUGCCACUUGCAAAUCCCCUGGGUGUUGUAGGCAUGUAGAAGGAGAGUGGCAAAAGGCAUUGAAUGGGUUGAUUAUUUUGAGGCACUCUAAUGUUUUUUUCUGUGUUUUUGAAUGAAGUACAAACAAAACCACAUGUGGCAGGCAUGCCAACCAUAUUCAGAAGUAAGGUAACCUUCUUUACUAAGAAUCUUAUA